UGAUCCGAGUUAAUGAUACUAGAGACUCGCGACUCAUGGGUUAAUUUAAAGACACGGGUGAAAGAUCCGAGUGAAUCACGACUUAAACACCUUUACUAUCUGUAACGUUAGGCCUACAAGAUGGACUGGCACAGACUUUGCUGUAACAUAAUUUGCUGUUCGCCAUGGGGAGGAGGCGGCAAGGAGGUCCAUGGGCUCUAACCUGGGACUAGAGGUCCAGGUGAAGUGGUUUGGCUGGGGUGUGGUGAUAUUGAACCCAUUGAGACUAUACAGUACAUUUCACUUUAUGUCUAUUGAUGGACUGUUACACCUACCCUUUACUUAUGCCAAACCCAUUUCUGUUCUUUAAAUAUCAGAAAGCAAACUUACUGUUGAUGGUACUGAACUUGCACUUGGAAAUGUUUAUGGAACUUUUCUGAACUGUGAAUUACAUUAAAACUCAUGCCAAACCAA